rnacentral:rRNA from 1 species
CAGUAGCCACGGGAAUACGUAGGGUGCAAGCGUUAAUCGGAAUUACUGGGCGUAAAGCGCGCGCAGGCGGUUAUAUAAGACAGAUGUGAAAUCCCCGGGCUCAACCUGGGAACUGCAUUUGUGACUGUAUAGCUAGAGUACGGCAGAGGGGGAUGGAAUUCCGCGUGUAGCAGUGAAAUGCGUAGAUAUGCGGAGGAACACCGAUGGCGAAGGCAAUCCCCUGGGCCUGUACUGACGCUCAUGCACGAAAGCGUGGGGAGCAAACAGGAUUAGAUACCCCGGUAGUCCCUGUCUCUUAUAC